rnacentral:rRNA from 1 species
CCUACGGGCGGCAGCAGUGGGGAAUAUUGGACAAUGGGCGAAAGCCUGAUCCAGCCAUGCCGCGUGUGUGAAGAAGGCCUUCGGGUUGUAAAGCACUUUCAGUGGGGAAGAAAGCCUUGGGGCUAAUACCCUCGAGGAAGGACAUCACCCACAGAAGAAGCACCGGCUAACUCCGUGCCAGCAGCCGCGGUAAUACGGAGGGUGCGAGCGUUAAUCGGAAUUACUGGGCGUAAAGCGCGCGUAGGCGGUCUGAUAAGCCGGUUGUGAAAGCCCCGGGCUCAACCUGGGAACGGCAUCCGGAACUGUCAGGCUAGAGUGCAGGAGAGGAAGGUAGAAUUCCCGGUGUAGCGGUGAAAAGCGUAGAGAUCGGGAGGAAUACCAGUGGCGAAGGCGGCCUUCUGGACUGACACUGACGCUGAGGUGCGAAAGCGUGGGUAGCAAACAGGAUUAGAUACCCGGGUAGUC